rnacentral:rRNA from 1 species
ACGCUGGCGGCGUGCCUAACACAUGCAAGUCGAACGAGAUGCGUAUCGGAAAGCUUCGGCCGGAAGAUACGUUAUCUAGUGGCGGACGGGUGAGUAACACGUGGGUAACCUGCCUUAUGGAGGGGGAUAACAGAGAGAAAUCACUGCUAAUACCGCAUAAGCACACAGUACCGCAUGGUACAGGGUGAAAAGAUUUAUCACCAUAAGAUGGACCCGCGUCUGAUUAGCCAGUUGGCAGGGUAAAAGCCUACCAAAGCAACGAUCAGUAGCCGAUCUGAGAGGAUGACCGGCCACAUUGGGACUGAGACACGGCCCAAACUCCUACGGGAGGCAGCAGUGGGGAAUAUUGCACAAUGGGGGAAACCCUGAUGCAGCGACGCCGCGUGAGUGAAGAAGUAUUUCGGCAUGUAAAGCUCUAUCAGCAGGGAAGAUAAUGACAGUACCUGACUAAGAAGCCCCGGCUAACUACGUGCCAGCAGCCGCGGUAAUACGUAGGGGGCAAGCGUUAUCCGGAUUUACUGGGUGUAAAGGGAGCGUAGACGGAAUGGCAAGUCUGAAGUGAAAUACCCGGGCUCAACCUGGGAACUGCUUUGGAAACUGUUGUUCUAGAGUGUUGGAGAGGUAAGUGGAAUUCCUGGUGUAGCGGUGAAAUGCGUAGAUAUCAGGAAGAACACCGGAGGCGAAGGCGGCUUACUGGACAAUAACUGACGUUGAGGCUCGAAAGCGUGGGGAUCAAACAGGAUUAGAUACCCUGGUAGUCCACGCUGUAAACGAUGAAUACUAGGUGUCGGGGUGCAAAGCAUCUCGGUGCCGUCGCUAACGCAAUAAGUAUUCCACCUGGGGAGUACGUUCGCAAGAAUGAAACUCAAAGGAAUUGACGGGGACCCGCACAAGCGGUGGAGCAUGUGGUUGAA